CCGGCGCACGGGUGAGUAACACGUAUCCAACCUGCCGUCUACUCUUGGACAGCCUUCUGAAAGGAAGAUUAAUACAAGAUGGCAUCAUGAGUCCGCAUGUUCACAUGAUUAAAGGUAUUCCGGUAGACGAUGGGGAUACGUUCCAUUAGAUAGUAGGCGGGGUAACGGCCCACCUAGUCUUCGAUGGAUAGGGGUUCUGAGAGGAAGGUCCCCCACAUUGGAACUGAGACACGGUCCAA
rnacentral:rRNA from 1 species